rnacentral:tRNA from 1 species
GCAGUCAUGGCCGAGUGGUUAAGGCGUUAGAAUAGAAAUCUAAUCCCCUCUGAGGUCUCAGGUUCAAAUCCUGCUGACUGUG